CAGCAGCCGCGGUAAAACGGAGGGUGCAAGCGUUAAUCGGAAUUACUGGGCGUAAAGCGCACGCAGGCGGUCUGACAAGUCAGAUGUGAAAUCCCCGGGCUUAACCUGGGAACUGCAUUUGAAACUGUCAGGCUGGAGUCUUGUAGAGGGGGGUGGAAUUCCAGGUGUAGCGGUGAAAUGCGUAGAGAUCUGGAGGAAUACCGGUGGCGAAGGCGGCCCCCUGGACAAAGACUGACGCUUAGGUGCGAAAGCGUGGGGAGCAAACAGGAUUAGAUACCCCUGUAGUCCCUGUCUCUUAUAC
rnacentral:rRNA from 1 species